rnacentral:misc_RNA from 1 species
GAUGAAGAACGUAGCAAAAUGCGUUAAGUAAUGUGAAUUGCAGAAUUCAGUGAAUCAUCGAAUCUUUGAACGCACAUUGCGCCCGCCAGUAUUCUGGCGGGCAUGCCUGUUCGAGCGUCAUUUCAACCCUCAAGCACAGCUUGGUGUUGGGACUCGCGUUAAUUCGCGUUCCCCAAAUUGAUUGGCGGUCACGUCGAGCUUCCAUAGCGUAGUAGUAAAACCCUCGUUACUGGUAAUCGUCGCGGCCACGCCGUUAAACCCCAACUUCUGAAUGUUGACCUCGGAUCAGGUAGGAAUACCCGCUGAACUUAAGCAUAUCAAUAAGCGGAGGA